rnacentral:rRNA from 1 species
UACGUAGGGUGCAAGCGUUGUCCGGAAUUAUUGGGCGUAAAGAGCUCGUAGGCGGCUUGUCGCGUCGGCUGUGAAAACCUGGGGCUCAACCCCGGGCCUGCAGCCGAUACGGGCAAGCGUAGAAUUCGGUAGGGGAGACUGGAAUUCCUGGUGUAGCGGUGAAAUGCGCAGAUAUCUGGAGGAACACCGGUGGCGAAGGCGGCAUCCGUGGACCAAUUCGUCGACGCUGAGGAGCGAAAGCCAGGGGAAGCCAAAGCGGGG